CAGGUUUUAUAAUGAGAAACCCUAUUUAGCUGUCUAACCCAGUCACGAAAGGGUUAACUUUCAUUUUGUAUCUUUGAUGGACUUGUGAGUGAGCCAAUGGGUGAAUUUUAUGAGGUACUGAACUGACCAAUCAGCUGCCAGCUAGGCUCCGUUACAGUUACGCCUCUAGUUUUGUGUCACUGCACGUUCUUUUGGCGCUUGCAUUUGAGCAUAGAAGGCUGCGUUAUCUGCUUGAGUGUAAACGAAAGCUGUGCCUGAAUCCACUGUUAUCACGGAGCUAAAAGCAGUGAAUUCCGUUAAAAUGGUCAGGUUUUGGUAAAGAGUUGGAAACAUCGUGCAGAGAUCCUUUCCACGGAGUGAUACAGAUCCACACGUUCCAGACGUUCUCCCAGAGAUUCAUAGAUUCCCAGCCCGGGUGGCUGGGUGGCGAGCCAACCGUGUUUGUGACUCUGACUUUAGACGAACUGCCUGGAUCAUCCUCUUCAUCUUCGUUGUGGUAGGACAAAAACUAACUCAGAGUUAAAAAAAGGGCCCCAACGGUGAAACUGAACUUUUGUCAACCAAGGCAAAACGAACCGAGGACGAACUGAGCUCAACGAUUCUGAUACGAGAGGGUUUUCUUUUGUUUUUUUGUGCGCACUUUAUUAUUUUAGUUUGUUAUUUUUCAUAAAUGUGUUUUUGCUUGUAUGUAUGUUUCACCCUGUGAAUUUAAUACAGGUUUGUCUAAACUGUCAUUCUGGUGUGUUAUUCCUUUUUAAUUGAUCUUCAAUUCUCAGGCUCUUAACAAUUUAGCGUCUUCUGAUUCUGGUCCAAAUCGUAUUUAUGAUAAC